rnacentral:rRNA from 1 species
GACGAACGCUGGCGGCGUGCUUAACACAUGCAAGUCGAACGAAGAGCGAUGGAAGCUUGCUUCUAUCAAUCUUAGUGGCGAACGGGUGAGUAACGCGUAAUCAACCUGCCCUUCAGAGGGGGACAACAGUUGGAAACGACUGCUAAUACCGCAUACGAUCUGACCUCGGCAUCGAGGAUAGAUGAAAGGUGGCCUCUACAUGUAAGCUAUCACUGAAGGAGGGGAUUGCGUCUGAUUAGCUAGUUGGAGGGGUAACGGCCCACCAAGGCGAUGAUCAGUAGCCGGUCUGAGAGGAUGAACGGCCACAUUGGGACUGAGACACGGCCCAGACUCCUACGGGAGGCAGCAGUGGGGAAUCUUCCGCAAUAGACGAAAGUCUGACGGAGCAACGCCGCGUGAGUGAUGACGGCCUUCGGGUUGUAAAGCUCCGUUAAUCGGGACGAAAGGCCUUUUUGCGAAUAGUGAGAAGGAUUGACGGUACCGGAAUAGAAAGCCACGGCUAACUACGUG